GCUGAAUUACCUCAGUGAUAGAGGAACUAAGGCGCGCUUAUAAAACUAGUACACAGUGGUUCAAUUCCACUAUUCAGCACCA
rnacentral:tRNA from 1 species